AUAUAGGUCAAGCUACAAAGGGCGCAUGGUGAAUGCCUUGGCAUCAGGAGCCGAUGAAGGACGUGAUAAGCUGCGAUAAGCUUCGGGUAGGCGCACAUAGCCUGAGAUCCGAAGAUUUCCGAAUGAGGAAACUCACAUGGGAAACCCCAUGUAUCAUUAAGUGAAUACAUAGCUUAAUGAAGGUAACCCAGGGAACUGAAACAUCUAAGUACCUGGAGGAAGAGAAAGAAAAAUCGAUUUUCUUAGUAGCGGCGAGCGAAAGGGAAAGAGCCCAAACCGGAAACUUGUUUCCGGGGUUGUGGACAUAACAUAAAAGUGGAGGCUAUUGUAACUGAAGAGAACUGGAAAGUUCCACCGUAGAAGGUAAUAGUCCUGUAAGUGAAACGAGAAGACCACGAGUUAUGAUCCAGAGUACCACGAGACACGUGAAACCUUGUGGGAAGCAGGGAGGACCACCUCCCAAGGCUAAAUACUACCUGAUGACCGAUAGUGAAGCAGUACCGUGAGGGAAAGGUGAAAAGAACCCCGGGAGGGGAGUGAAAUAGAACCUGAAACCGUGUGCCUACAACCGCUCAGAGCCCCUUAUGAGGGUGAUGAGGUGCUUUUUGUAGAACGAGCCAACGAGUUACGGUAUGUAGCAAGGUUAAGUACUUAAGGUACGGAGCCGAAGGGAAACCGAGUCUGAAUAGGGCGACUAGUUGCAUGCCGUAGACCCGAAACCGGGUGACCUAUCCAUGGCCAGGUUGAAGCGAGGGUAAAACCUCGUGGAGGACCGAACCACGUUGCUGUUGAAAAAGCAUGGGAUGAGCUGUGGAUAGCGGAGAAAUUCCAAUCGAACCCGGAGAUAGCUGGUUCUCUCCGAAAUAGCUUUAGGGCUAGCGUCGAGUAUGAGUAGUGGAGGUAGAGCACUGAAUGGGCUAGGGGGCAUAGCGCUUACCGAACCUUAUCAAACUCCGAAUGCCACAUACUUUGAGCUCGGCAGUCAGACUACGAAUGAUAAGAUCCGUGGUCAAAAGGGAAACAGCCCAGAUCGUCAGCUAAGGUCCCAAAGUGUAAGUUAAGUGGGAAAGGAUGUGAGAUUUCUAAGACAACUAGGAUGUUGGCUUAGAAGCAGCCAUUCAUUAAAAGAGUGCGUAAUAGCUCACUAGUCGAGAGAUCUUGCGCCGAAAAUGUAACGGGGCUAAACUUACC
rnacentral:rRNA from 1 species